AUUGAACGCUGGCGGCAGGCCUAACACAUGCAAGUCGAACGAGUGGCGGUCGCGUGAGUAAUGUCUGUGCAACUGCCUGAUGGAUGGGGAUAACUACUGGCAACGGUAGCUAAUACCGCAUACCACCAGUUGAGCCCAGAUGGGAUUAGCUUGUUGGUGGGGGAACGGCUCACCAAGGCGAUGAUCCCUAGCUGGUCUGAGAGGAUGACCAGCCACACUGGAACGGAGACACGGUCCAGACUCCUACGGGAGGCAGCAGUGGGGAAUAUUGGACAAUGGGCGAAAGCCUGAUCCAGCCAUGCCGCGUGUGUGAAGAAGGUCUUCGGAUUGUAAAGCACUUUAAGUUGGGAGGCGUUACCAACAGAAUAAGCACCGGCUAACUUCGUGCCAGCAGCCGCGGUAAUUC
rnacentral:rRNA from 1 species